GUGAGGGAAUAUAUCUGCUGUGUGUGCUGGGGUUUGGGUUGGUCCCAGGGGUAGCCUGGGAGUGCUGUGGAGUGCUGGCCCUGAGCACUGCUGGCUCUGAGCAGGGGAGUAGAGGAGGCUGAGAGCCAGACAAAGGUAGUAGCAUCAGCUCACUGUCAACACCCACCCAAGUAGCUGUCCUGGUUUCAGCCUUGUGCUUCUGAGCUAGCCCUGGAAGGCCCUUCUAGGAAUGGCAUCACCCAUGGGCUUGAUGCUGGCUUAUGAGCUGCAGGAGUGGUGUCACUGGUGUGUAGCAUCCCUGCUGAGGGCAAAUGCCCUAUGAUCAUCUACUUGCCUAAGGUCCCAUUGCCUUAAAUGUCUCUGAAAAGAUGCCUUGCAUUUCCUGGUGUUGGGACGACUGAGUAGAAGUUAUAAGAAACUGACUCCUGGGACUGAUCCACAAACGAGAGCCCUCAUCCAGUGGCUGAUGGAAGCAGAGACAGACAUCCACAGAUAUACAAUGAGCUGAAAUCUGGAAUCUAGUUGAAGAGAGGGAGGAAUGAAGAGCGAAGGGGUCUGUACCAGGUUGGAGAAAUCCACAGGAACAGUUGGCCUGAACAAGGGAGAGCACAUCGACCCCAGAUGCUGUCGGGGAGGCCAGUACAAGACUGAUCCAGACCCCUGAACAUGGAUGUCAAUAAGGAGGCCUCUGCACUCCAGGGAGCCUCUGGUAGUGGAUUAGUAUUUUUCCUUGGUGCAAGAAGGGACUUUGAGAGCCCAUCCCACAUGAAGGGAUACACUCUGGCCCUGGACACAUGGGGAAGGGCCCAGGCCCAGUCUGCCACCACAGGGCCCUGAGUGCAUGAUGCAACCAGCCUUUGAGUCUCAAAUCUCUGUAAAGUUCCUGCUUGCAGAUUGUGGCCUUUGCCCAG
rnacentral:lncRNA from 1 species